UUAAGGGCAAUCCUCGCAAACUCACAAAAGUUUGCACAUGCACCAGAAGGGGUGAAAAUUCACGUUUGUUAUAGGUUUCGAAAAUGGGUGCAACAAAAAUACCUCAACAGCGCCCCCUAUGCACAUUUGACGGACUUGCCCCUGAGCUAUGUUUCAUGCUCAUGUCCAAAAAUUGGCAUACACAUCAAACAUGCCAAUACCUACAAAAAAGUCUCUUAGAGCGAAAUCUCAAACCCAACAGAAAGUCAGAUAUUGAAAUUUAUAAAUCAUCCUAGAAGCCAUUAAACUGUCUAAUUUUGUUGAUAAUGUGCUCCCGUUUUGUUAAAAAAUGAUUAAUUUAUUAGUAAUAUAUUGUAUCAACCACUAAAUAGCAUAUUUUUAUCAAUAAUAAUCGUAUAAUUAUUUUUUUCAUUUGAAUAAUCCACUAGAUUGUUACAUAACUUCUUUAAUAACAUGCUCCAAUUGUGUUUUAUGUGUAUUUAUGUAUAAUUAUUUGUAUAAAUCACAACAUUUUAUACAGUUGUUGAUAAACUCAACUUUUAAUGUAAUGUAUAUACAUUCUGCAAAUGUAUGCAUAUCCAUUUACACACAGUGUUUUAUGUUAUUACUUUCUACAGUAUAGUUUAAGAAAGCUAACAGCAAUAUUAUAUAUAUACAAUAGCUAUUAUUCCAGACAUAGUUCUGAGUCAGGCAAAGAAACCAUGAACUGGAGUGUAAGAGGUUCUCUAUUACUCCUUAGAGGUCGACAUUAAACUGCAGGCUGCCACAGCAGAAUGAUAGCUCUAGUAUAAAUAAGCUGCCUCAGUAAAAAUGUGUGUGCUAAAUGAGUAACAAAAAAAAAAAACCUCCAACAAAAGACAGGUUUUAAAUUACUAUCGCGCUCCUCUAGAGGGAGCAGUCGAGUCCAGACAUGCUAAAGCAGCAUUAACCACAGUUUUGUGUUUUUAAGGUCAUAUCUGAAAGAGGACAUCGCACCCUGUGGUUUAUUAUUUGCUGCCACUUCAUUGACUUAACCCAGAUGGACAGGUAGCGCUCGUUCACAAUGCUAGUUUUGGCCUCUACAAAGAGCUAUUUGGUUGGAGAAGAGAAAAAAAGAGAAGAAAAAACGGCGCUGUAAGUGUCCUCAAUGGAGGCUUUGUUACAGGGGCCAGGACCCAGCGUGAGAGGGCUGAGGGCAGUGAUGGAUAGUAAUACCUGGCCCCCCUGGUGCCUCAAAUGCCUCAGUGAGAUACCAGCUCCACAAACACUGCCUCUGUCCGGCUCCUGUCCCUCUUUCCCUGGCCAGCUUUGUGUGUUUGAACAACCAGUGCUUUUUUCUUGCUUUCACCCCCCCCUCUUUCGGUCUCGCUCUUCCAUUUUUCACUCAAACGGAAGGGAGGGAGAGUUUGACCAGCUGUCCAGACUCACCUGUGGACGGUGAGCAGGAGGAAACAGGAGGGAAAAGUGUUGCAUUUGUCUUUGAAAUGCACAAGUUUUGAGACAUUUUGCUUUAGUUUCUUGGAGGCUGGCGGAAGAGAGAGGAUGUGCGGCCCAGAGAGUUAAGCGGGAACUGAAUUUGAGGUUUCAUAAAUCGGUGGAGAUCCAGAGAUAGCUAGACUAUGCCUCAGUUCACCUUUGCCUGCUUCUGUGGCCUUCAUGGCCUCUGUGGAAGGAAAAAGAAGAAAAAGGAGGAAGAGGAACGACCACAGCAGGACUAUGAGACUGAGGUUUGAGACGAUGCCUGGACUGGGAAGAAUCGCACGGUUUUAGUAGCUUACAAAGGGGAAAAGAUGCAAGACGUGACCUCAGUAUUGGCUCAGAUCUCAGGGCUGAGCAAUAGAGGCCAUAUCAGGACCCUGUUCAUGAUUUUAAUGUACUUACCUAUAAGACGAUCGGUUUGUUUUUGUUACACUUUCAAUCCGAGGUGCAGGGAAGUACUGGUGCACUUUAAAAAUGUACUUUCACAUUUAGCAGUCCCAAAACAUAUUUCAACCCUUUUAAAGUGUCUGAAUGCCAUUAGAAAACAUAUAUCAAGUGGCAUUUAUUAAAAAAAAAAAACUAUAUAUUAAGUGGCCUUAGCUAAUAUGUACUUACACUGAAAUUACUAAUUUGUUACAAUGUAGUUAUUGUGUAAAUACAUGUUUUUACAUUGUACUUAUGCUUAAUUAAAUAUCUGUUGAGCAUCCCUUAAACCUUAACCCAACCUUAAACCUACCCAUACCGCAAAACCUGUCCCUAAUCCAACAUGUACCCUCCUCAAGAGCACCGGAAGUGUUCUGCAAUACAUUAUGAACACCGUAAGUACAUCGUAUUUAUAUUUUAAUGCAAGUACAAAGUAGUUAAGGCCACUUAAUAUAAAGCUGUG